UCCCUCCUCUUAUUGUUUAUUCCCUCCUCUUAUUGUUUAUUCCCUCCUCUUAUUGUUUAUUCCCUGCUCUUAUUGUUUAUUCCCUGCUCUUAUUGUUUAUUCCCUGUUCUUAUUGUUUAUUCCCUGUUCUUAUUGUUUAUUCCCUGCUCUUGUUGUUUAUUCCCUGCUCUUAUUGUUUAUUCCCUGCUCUUAUUGUUUAUUCCCUCCUCUUAUUGUUUAUUCCCUCCUCUUGUUGUCUAUUCCCUCCUCUUGUUGUUUAUUCCCUCCUCUUGUUGUUUAUUCCCUCCUCUUGUUGUUUAUUCCCUGCUCUUAUUGUUUAUUCCCUGCUCUUAUUGUUUAUUCCCUCCUCUUAUUGUUUAUUCCCUCCUCUUAUUGUUUAUUCCCUCCUCUUAUUGUUUAGUCCCUCCUCUUAUUGUUUAUUCCCUCCUCUUAUUGUUUAUUCCCUCCUCUUAUUGUUUAUUCCCUGCUCUUAUUGUUUAUUCCCUGCUCUUAUUGUUUAUUCCCUGUUCUUAUUGUUUAUUCCCUGUUCUUAUUGUUUAUUCCCUGCUCUUGUUGUUUAUUCCCUGCUCUUAUUGUUUAUUCCCUCCUCUUAUUGUUUAUUCCCUCCUCUUGUUGUUUAUUCCCUGCUCUUAUUGUUUAUUCCCUCCUAUUGUUGAUUAUUCCCUCCUAUUGUUGUUUAUUCCCUGCUCUUAUUGUUUAUUCCCUCCUCUUAUUGUUUAUUCCCUGCUCUUAUUGUUUAUUUCCUCCUCUUGUUUUUUAUUCCCUCCUCUUGUUGUUUAUUCCCUGCUCUUAUUGUUUAUUCCCUGUUCUUAUUGUUUAUUCCCUGCUCUUAUUGUUUAUUCCCUGUUCUUAUUGUUUAUUCCCUCCUCUUAUUGUUUAUUCCCUGCUCUUAUUGUUUAUUCCCUGUUCUUAUUGUUUAUUCCCUCCUCUUAUUGUUUAUUCCCUCCUCUUGUUGUUUAUUCCCUGCUCUUAUUGUUUAUUCCCUGUUCCUAUUGUUUAUUCCCUCCUCUUAUUGUUUAUUCCCUCCUCUUGUUGUUUAUUCCCUCCUCUUAUUGUUUAUUCCCUGUUCUUAUUGUUUAUUCCCUCCUCUUAUUGUUUAUUCCCUCCUCUUGUUGUUUAUUCCCUGCUCUUAUUGUUUAUUCCCUGUUCCUAUUGUUUAUUCCCUCCUCUUAUUGUUUAUUCCCUCCUCUUGUUGUUUAUUCCCUCCUCUUAUUGUUUAUUCCCUGUUCUUAUUGUUUAUUCCCUCCUCUUAUUGUUUAUUCCCUCCUCUUGUUGUUUAUUCCCUGUUCUUAUUGUUUAUUCCCUCCUCUUAUUGUUUAUUCCCUGCUCUUAUUGUUUAUUCCCUGCUCCUAUUGUUUAUUCCCUGUUCUUAUUGUUUAUUCCCUGCUCUUAUUGUUUAUUCCCUGUUCUUGUUGUUUAUUCCCUGCUCUUGUUGUUUAUUCCCUCCUCUUAUUGUUUAUUCCCUGCUCUUAUUGUUUAUUCCCUUCUCUUAUUGUUUAUUCCCUCCUCUUAUUGUUUUUUCCUGCUCUUAUUGUUUAUUUCCUCCUCUUGUUGUUUAUUCCCUCCUCUUGUUGUUUAUUCCCUGCUCUUAUUGUUUAUUCCCUGUUCUUAUUGUUUAUUCCCUCCUCUUAUUGUUUAGUCCCUCCUCUUGUUGUUUAUUCCCUCCUCUUGUUGUUUAUUCCCUCCUCUUGUUGUUUAUUCCCUGCUCUUAUUGUUUAUUCCCUCCUCUUGUUGUUUAGUCCCUCCUCUUGUUGUUUAUUUCCUCCUCUUGUUGUUUAUUCCCUGCUCUUGUUGUUUAUUCCCUGUUCACAUUGUUUAUUCCCUGCUCUUACAUGGUGUGUUGAUAAACUCAAGCCAGCAGUAUUAACUAAAAAGCAGGCCCUAAUUUGCAUUUAG
ensembl:lncRNA